ACUCAAGCUGGGACCGUGGAAAGAGAAAGAAAGGAAGAAACAAGAAAAUAGAGAAGAUUUUCAAAUACAUGAUAGAGGAAUACAGGAAACCCCAAAGAGAUUAAAGUGGAUCUACUGAAAUUGAAGGGAGUGGGGAGAAAGUGGACCCCAAUCAGUUCAAGUUACAAAGCGGUCCUCAAGAGAAGAAAAACAGCGUCAGAACAAGAGAGAGGAAGUGUAAUAUUGUGAUACAAGAAGAAAUAUAUAUUUGGUCUCUGUCCCCAUUUCUGGAGCUAAUAUUUGGUCUCUACCACAGUUCCUGACACAGAUCUCCUAAGACCUCUGUAAUUUCCUGAGUGGUAGGAGCUUCUGGCACAGAGGUCCAAAAUCCCUUGGAAUUUCUUGGGCGAUAGGAGCAUCUUCUGUUCUAAUGAGGUAACAGUUGGUGGAGGCUGGUCGCUAGGGGAACCAACAAUGUGAUUGGAGGGUUGGAACUUUCAGCCUCACUCCGUGACUUCCUGGAAGGGGAGAGGUACUGAGGUUGAGUCUAUCCCCAAUGGCCAAUGAUGUCAUCAAUCAUGCCUAAAUAAUGAAGCCUCCAUAAAAACUCAAAAGGAUGGGAUUUGGAGAACUUCUGGAAUGCUGAGCAUGUGGAGGUGCCUGGAGAGGGCAUGGAAGCUCCACAUGCCUGCCCACAUACUUUGCACUGUGCAUCCCUUCCAUCUGGCUGUUCAUCUUUUUGAGGAAGCUGUGCUGGGAGAGUGGCUGUAUUGGAGGUGUUUCCAUUUUGAAACCACAUCUCUUAACUAAACGAGUUGAUUAGAGAAAUGAGCAAAUUAACAAGGUCAAAAGAAGGUCUUGCCCUGAAGGCACAGACUUGAAGUGUUCAGCUGAUGGAGAGCUGAAUGCCAUGACAACCAGGUGCCAAGGAACUUCAGAAUCUCCAAAUGGAAGUCUCCAAAGCCCCUGAUUCACCAGAAAGAGAGAAAACCAUCCACUGGCCACCACACUGUUAUAUGAGCAGAACACAAACUCCUGUUGUGUUUGAGCCUGUAAACAUUCUGGGCAGCAGAUUAUCCUCUUUAACAUACAAAAUGAUGCCUCAAAUAUGCCUACAAACAAGUAAAAUCAGCUAUCCAGAAAGCUACUCUGUGCCAUAGUUUCUUUAUUUCUAUUUCUGCAACAUGAGGCACCCCAGUGUCAACCAGGGACCGC
rnacentral:lncRNA from 1 species